rnacentral:lncRNA from 1 species
GCGGGUGAUAGUGGAGCUGUAGCGGGUGAUAGUGGAGCUGUAGCGGGUGAUAGUGGAGCUGUAGCGGGUGAUAGUGGAGCUGUAGGAGGUGGUAGUGGAGCUGUAGCGGGUGAUAGUGGAGCUGUAGAAGGUGAUAGUGGAGCUGUAGCAGGUGGUAGUGGAGCUGUAGCAGGUGAUAGUGGAGCUGUAGCAGGUGAUAGAUAGUGGAGCUGUAGAAGGUGAUAGUGGAGCUGUAGCAGGUGGUAGUGGAGCUGUAGCAGGUGAUAGAUAGUGGAGCUGUAGCAGGUGAUAGAUAGUGGAGCUGUAGCAGGUGACAGUGGAGCUGUAGCGGGUGAUAGUGGAGCUGUAGCAGGUGAUAGUGGAGCUGUAGCAGGUGAUAGUGGAGCUGUAGCAGGUGAUAGUGGAGCUGUAGCGGGUGAUAGUGGAGCUGUAGCGGGUGAUAGUGGAGCUGUAGCGGGUGAUAGUGGAGCUGUAGCAGGUGAUAGUGGAGCUGUAGCGGUGAUAGUGGAGCUGUAGCGGGUGAUAGUGGAGCUGUAGCGGGUGAUAGUGGAGCUGUAGCGGGUGAUAGUGGAGCUGUAGCGAGUGAUAGUGGAGCUGUAGCAGGUGAUAGUGGAGCUGUAGCGGGUGAUAGUGGAGCUGUAGCAGGUGAUAGUGGAGCUGUAGCGGGUGAUAGUGGAGCUGUAGCAGGUGAUAGUGGAGCUGUAGCGGGUGAUAGUGGAGCUGUAGCAGGUUAUAGUGGUAAACCAACCAGCUGGAUCUUUAUUUAGUUUUCUGCUCCUUUAAGUACAGAAGUGACCCUCCCAGCCAGUUAUGAUACACACACACACACACACACACACACACACACACACACACACACACACACACACACACAACACACACACACACUGUCAUGACACACUCCCAAAACACAGGAAAUGGGGUCUACUGGUGGUACACUGAUAAUUCUGUUCUGACAGUUUUAGUGCAUGAUGCUUGGGCAACAGGUUUACCCUUCACCCCCCC